CGCGCGCGCGCGCGCGCUCCGGGCCACACUCACACGCCCUCCACGAGCACACUCCACCAGACUUUUGUUCCCGAUGCCCCUGGCUGGUGACGGCGGAUUGGCAUCUUGGAAGCGAUGCAAGAGCGAUAAAGCUGGGGAGGAUCCGCGGAAGGUUCAAGAGCAUCGCUAGGUGUUGCCGCCACCAGGAAGCGGGGCUGCAGGAUGAGUAAGAGAUACUUACAGAAAGCAACAAAAGGAAAGCUGCUAAUAAUAAUAUUUAUUGUAACCUUGUGGGGCAAAGUUGUAUCCAGUGCAAACCACCAUAAAGCUCACCAUGUUAAAACGGGAACUUGCGAGGUGGUGGCACUCCACAGAUGCUGCAAUAAGAACAAGAUAGAGGAGCGGUCACAAACGGUCAAGUGCUCCUGCUUCCCUGGGCAGGUGGCCGGCACCACCCGAGCUGCUCCGUCUUGUGUGGAUGCUUCAAUAGUGGAACAGAAAUGGUGGUGUCACAUGCAGCCGUGUCUUGAGGGAGAGGAAUGUAAAGUUCUUCCAGACCGGAAAGGCUGGAGCUGUUCUUCGGGGAAUAAAGUGAAGACAACUCGGGCAAACGUGUAAAACUCUUCAAGUUCGAAUGGAAAAUAGAAAGAGAAGGUUUCCGCUCUACCUGAUGACAAUUUUUGAUAUUUCCACUCUCAAAAAAAAAAAAUGCCGGCUCCUCGUUGGAGCGCUAGUUGUGGCGAGUCCUAGUGUUGAUCGGAUUCUGAGGAAGGGACGGAACUUUCGUUGAGGAGUAAAGAUUCCAAACAGCUCCAGACACGGGCUCCCGGCUCCAUUCAUUUCUCACAGAGCAGCAGGUAACCCAUUAACCAAGGAUAAAUCAAGUGAUCCUCAAGGCUGAUUGCAUUGAAUAUAUGCAUAGAAACUUAACUCUUGGGGUGAUCUUGAAGGAAGCUUUUUAUACCAUUCAGAGCAGGCUCUCUGGGGAGUCUGUUGCACAAGGGAUUCCAUGGCUUGUAAUUAGCCUCUUCUUGAAAUCAAGACUUUUUAAAAGUCAGACGCGAACUUCUAUGCCGUGAAGUUGUCGUCAGAUUUGACCUGCCUUCAGCGUGUAGAACUGUCCUUCCGGAAGGACUUCGCAGAUGUCCAGGGCAAAGGGAGUGAAGAGUUGGUGUUUCCAGGGUGAUGUCAGAGACAGUCACCUUUAGGGCUCUUGGCUCCAGAUGUGACUUAAUUUCUUUUUCCGGGAAGCAGCUCCCCAAUGCACUGCCCUUCUGGCUUGGAUGUAUUCCUGGGUCCUGGGUCCGUGGGCCAAUGGGACAGCACAUGACUGGAAUGACAUUCUCUUUGCAGAACUUCUCCUCUGGCAUGGCAUAGAAAGAGACGAUGUAUUUGUGUCCUAGUCUUGGAGCUCUGAAAGCCUACGUAUUUUAACAUCUCAAAGUUGCAUUUGUUAAAGGAAUGGAAAUAUAUAUCCAUUGAUACUAAUUAUUGCUGGCAAGUAAUAGUUACCUGAAUUCAUCAAUCAUACACGAAUGUAUAGCCAAACUGACAUGUUUCCCCAAGGCUAACAUACUACUGCAGCUCUUUGUCAAUUACGUAAGUGGUGGUUAGAAGUGGGUUACCAUUUUCAUCAUAUGUGAUUUGGUACCUCUAGACAAUUUCCUUUCUUUAUUAUUUUCUCCCCUUGUUUCUUUAAAAGCACUUCUUUCUUUCUUUUAUCCUUCACAGAAAUUAGUGGGUAGCCUUCAGUUUCAAAAACAAUUUCCAGGGAUGCAUAUGCAUUUCUGAUUUAUUUUUAGCUUGAAAGUUAUGCACUUAGAUUUCUUGUAGUGGUUAUUUUUUCUUUUAAGCAUUCUCUAUAUUUCACUUUAGUAGACUGUCUCUUGCUUGAUCCCAAUGACUGUCUGGAUGCUUAUAUAUUGGUUUGUUUAGUCUGUUGAUUGAUCACUUGUUCACUUUUUCCUUGGUCUCAAGUGUAUAUGAUAUUUCCUUAUAGUUGUUGCAUUCAAACAAUUUCUUAGACCAGUCCAGGCAGUUCCUGGGUUACAAACAUCUAACUUACGUGCAACUCAUUGGUACAAACCAGUCUCUCUAAAGUCUAUUACAUUAAAGAUUCAAAGUAUGUACAAUGCUUGUAAUAACAAAGGGGCAUUACUUUGUGACAUGCAUCUUCACAUUAUUAUUGUUGCUGUAUUAUUAUGUUAAAGAUGUUUCCCUGCAUCUAGAAGUGUUUUGUUCGUGUUUUUCAUGUCUAGAAAGAUGCAUUAUACUACAUACGAAGACAAAUCCUUGACUGACUGAGGUAUCCCUUGGAAUCCUUGGAAUACCAACCCACUCACUAUUCUAACGAUUCCAAAUUCCAGAUUCAACCUAAAAUAGGUUUAGGAAUGAAGCUGACUCAUCAUAUGGGGACUGCCUGUAUUUUGUCCAGGUUUUUGUAGCCAUUUUCACAUGUGUGGUUUUCUGUUCUUCUGGAAAGUUUUAUGAAUAUUUAAAGGCCUUAAACAUGUAUACUUGUUUUGAAGUUAUUACAGAAUGUAUAAUUUUAUACUACACUUAUUUUGUUUCAUUGGUGACAUAAAGGGAGAGGAGAAUGGAAACUGCAUAGCCGUUCUGUAAUAAUAUUGCAUAAACCUAUAGUUUGAAGGAAUGUAAAGGGAGGAUUUCUGUGUUUUCUUCAUCUUAGACUAGUAAAAAGAUGCUUUAGAUUUUGUCUUAUUAGAAUUACCAUCAUGCUCAAGAGAGAUGUGGAAAUAUUUUGUGUUUUUAAAACUGACUGGCAUGGCCACUUAGGCAUAUGUUGAUAUUCAUGAUGGAGACCUAUAUACUCUGGAGAGCUUUAGGCUGUUAUUAUUUGCAAAAAAGUUUAAAGUUCAUAACCCAGAUUGCUUAUUGGUAUAAAAAAAGAAUAUUUAGUAAAAAACUAAAUUUGAAACAUGUGCUUUCCUAUGCUUUGGACAUUGAAGUAAAGCAUACUGCCCUAUAAGUGCAGGGAAUGAAAUGACUCAUUGCCUCACUUUAAUUAUGUAUAAAACUGAUUAGAUGGCUCCAAGUGGAUUUAAAAAUGGUUCAAUACUGUAUGGAAUAAUAAAAAAGUGAUAUUGGUUGAUCUGAAAUUUAUACAUCAAUUAAAAUAUUAAUUUCAUUGGCACAAAAUGGAAAUCUAUAUUAUUUUGGGAAUUAUAGAUUUGUCUUAGGUUUGUUUGAAGUUAUGGAUCAUAUUUCUCAUUUUGUUAACUGUCCUUUAAGAUAAUGCUGGAAGUUCUGUAUUAUAAACAAGUGUAAUACAUGCAUAUCAAUAGAGAAAAUAAAUGGAUUUCAAAUAUA